rnacentral:rRNA from 1 species
CCUACGGGUGGCAGCAGUGGGGAAUAUUGGGCAAUGGGCGCAAGCCUGACCCAGCAACGCAGCGUGAAGGAAGAAGGCUUUCGGGUUGUAAACUUCUUUUGUUAGGGAAGAGUAGAAGACGGUACCUGACGAAUAAGCCACGGCUAACUACGUGCCAGUAGCCGCGGUAAUACGUAGGUGGCAAGCGUUGUCCGGAUUUACUGGGUGUAAAGGGCGUGUAGCCGGGUUGACAAGUCAGAUGUGAAAUCCUGCGGCUUAACCGCAGAACUGCAUUUGAAACUGUUGAUCUUGAGUACUGGAGAGGCAGACGGAAUUCCUAGUGUAGCGGUGAAAUGCGUAGAUAUUAGGAGGAACACCAGUGGCGAAGGCGGUCUGCUGGACAGCAACUGACGGUGAGGCGCGAAAGCGUGGGGAGCAAACAGGAUUAGAUACCCCAGUAGUC